rnacentral:lncRNA from 1 species
AGGCAAUCAAUAGUUAGGCAGAACAAUCACCGAAAUACAUUUUCUCAAUCAAAAUUGACUGUAAAUCAGCAAAACAAUUCAAAUAAUAACAAAAAAAUAUAUUAACAUCAUACAAACAAACAAAACGUGAUCUGAGAAUCGAAAAUAAAUGCCCAAGCAUAUAAAUAAAUGUCGAAAUUCAUAGAGUUUGCCAAAAAUUAUACAACUUUGGCUAAAUAAUAUCAAAAUUUAUAUUUAAUAAAUAUAUUAAGACGACGGAGAUGAGUAGCGGUGUUACUUCAACAACUUUCGUUUGAGAAACAACAAAAUCUAAGAUCCGUUCAGAUCUGCCCAUUUUCCAACGAGGCAGUGUUUGUGGUAUUGUUCGCUGGUCACCGGUGGUCAGAUCCGGCGAAGACUAUGGGAAGAAGGGGAAAGAAAAAGGGGUGAUAGCGAUUGUUGAUUUUUGAUGAUGAAGCUUUGGCAGUGGAGGCUAUGAUAGUUUGCUGUUGGUAUUAGUGGCUGCCGGCUGUCCGGUGGUCAAACCCGGCGGCAAUUGUGAGUGGGGUUUCACUGGUGGUUGGUUAGGGUGGCUGUCGGUGACUGCUGUUGGCAGCAGCAUCGUCUGGAAGUACUGGUGGUCGCUGGCAGGACAGGAGAGGAGGAAGGGAGUUGGUUGUCUUAUGGACUGCUCCGGCAGCGGCGACAAGUGAAGAAGAUAAGAGAGAAAGAGAAAAAUAUAUGGCUCUUUUCC